rnacentral:rRNA from 1 species
UUGGAGGGCAAGUCUGGUGCCAGCAGCCGCGGUAAUUCCAGCUCCAAUAGCGUAUAUUAAAGUUGUUGCAGUUAAAAAGCUCGUAGUUGAAUUUCGGGAUUGACGUGAUGUUAUGCCUUAAGGGGUAUGAACUGUCACUGUUGAUUUCUCACCUUCUGGAGAAACUUGAUGUCCUUUAUUGGGUGUCUUGCGGAUCCAGGACCUUUACCUUGAAAUAAUUAGAGUGUUUAAAGCAGGCAUUUUUGCUCGAAUACAUUAGCAUGGAAUAGUAGAAUAGGACGGCAUGGUUCUAUUUUGUUGGUUUCUAGGAUCACCGUAAUGAUUAAUAGGGAUAGUUGGGGGCAUUAGUAUUCAAUUGUCAGAGGUGAAAUUCUUGGAUUUAUUGAAGACUAACUACUGCGAAAGCAUUUGCCAAGGAUGUUUUCAUUAAUCAAGAACGAAAGUUAGGGGAUCGAAGACGAUCAGAUACCGUCGUAGUCUUAACCAUAAACUAUGCCGACUAGGAAUCAGACGAUGUUAAUUUUCUAAUGACUCGUUUGGCACCUUACGGGAAACCAAAGUGUUUGGGUUC